CUCAGUGUGACAUUUGUUUCGUUUGGCGCAAAGAUCACCAAGGCAAACUGAGGCAGAAAUAUUACCCUCAUGAUAAAUAUCCCCUUAUACUUGUAGCUUCGCAGUAGUUAACCACUGAAUUGUUCUGUUCCAGGCACUAUAGACGGUAUUGGAUGCUUCUGAUGCUUCUGUCCUGAUAUCUACUUUCUCACAGUGCUAAAAUAAAAAUCCAGCUAAAGUGAGCUUCACCAUAUGAAGAGACCAGAUUACUGGAAAACAACAUACAUGAUAAAGAGCACCUGUUUUCUGCGUUGCUGAAAUAUAAACCGAUUUGUAAUUGUGCUUUUACGCUGUAUCACCUUGUGCCUUAAUUCUCUCUUACAGUUGUAAAUCUUAAAAUGAUACAGAUAAUGUACAUUUGUCUUAAUAAUUUCCCUCAAAUGUAGCCUUUACAUAAUUGUAUAUGUCCUCUUUAAGCAAAUUGUGAAGCAGUGUCCCU